GCGGGUUUAGUUGUGUUUUUCAUGACCAGAGUCCUGCUCUGUGCGGAUCACGUGUGCGCGGGACAGUAUUUGGCGCAUGUGUCUAUUUGCGCGUUUCUAAAGUGAGUUUGAAGGAUUUUGCGUCGUGCGUCAGAGCAGCGUGUGUUUUUGGCGCGCGGAAGUCUCAGGUCAAUGGACAAACAUGAGGACGACAAGACGAACGGUGAGGACAAGAGGAACAGUGAGGACAAGAGGAACAGUGAGGACAAGUCUGCACCGGGACGAGACCAAAGACGACGCUCUCAGUCUCUAGAUGAGUCUCCGAGGGUCCAGCCCAGACGACACAACAGGAGAAGUUCAUCGAUGAUGACCCCUCCUUUCAUGCGUCUGCCAACGACACCAGACGAGUCUCCAGAGCGGCCCAGAGGUCGCUCUAAAGAGAAUCACACAAGUGGAGCCAGAGAGGAGCCAAAGAGUCGUCCCUCAGGGAGAUCUGCCCCACGAACCAUCUUAAAGGAGUGUGAGGGACAGACUGCAGUGUGUCCUGGGCUGAGCUCACACUCUGUGAAGAACAGCAGAGCGGAGAGUCCUCUAUAUAGUCCUAGUCCUGGUCCUAGUCCUGGUCCUAGUCCUGGUCUGUCCUGUGGUCUGUCCCAGAUGGAGGAGUCUGGAUCAGCCUCACACAAAGUGAAUAUUAAAUCCAGGAGACGAGCUCUGAGGUUCUGAAGGACGUCACCGAGGAGGCAGAACAUCCUCAGUCCUGAAGAUGCUUCUGUGUUUAGGUUUAUGAGACUUUUUAGUCUCUUUAGACUCUUCUCUGCAGUGGUGCUUUUCAGGACGUGGAAUGUGACGGUCAAACUUGAGAUGAGGGGCAGAAAUGUCCGAAAACUCCAGACUCUACCAGCUCUAAAGAGGAUUAGAGGAUUACCGUAUUUUCCGUACAAUAAGGCGCAUCGGAAUAUAAGUCGCACUUUUAAUGAACGGCCUAUUUUAAAUCAGUUUUCAUAUCUAGAGCGCUCCGCAGUAUAAGACACAUAGAAUAUAAACUACUGUAGUAUCUGGGGUCGUGUUCAUUUUUUAAAAUGCUCACUCACAAAACAAGUUAAUGCGUCACAAUAUAGAAACUCUGGAAACAGUGCAACGCAAUAACAAUAACUCAACGUGGUUCAAACGUUAAUGUCCAUAGUCACGAUAUCUCCAGCCUCGUUUAGUCGUAAACACGUGAAAGAAACACUAAAGACUCACUUUUUCAGCUCAUUCCUCAUUCACGAAUCCGUCGAGUUCUUCCUCUUCAGUGUCUGAGUUGAACAGUUGGUCGAGCUCGUUCAAAGUGCACGAUUCCGUCUCGUCAAAAUCGCCAUUAUCCGUGUCGCUUCUGUCCGUGUCUGUCAGUUCAGAGACAAUUCCUGCCUUCGUGAAAACUCGGACCACAGUUGAGUCGCCCCGUUAUUCCCGCUGUUACUUCGGUGACGCCUCCUGACUACGGGUGCCAUAAUUGACCAAUAUUGAUCCAUAUAUAAGGCGCAUCGGAUUAUAAGGUGCACUGUGGGUUUUUGAGAAAAUUAAAGGCUUUUAGGUGCGUCUAAUAGUGCGGAAAAUACGGUACAUUUUAACUGACUCCAAAGACGAUUAAUUAAACAUCAGUUUUAUCUGCCCCCGUUUGUUUAAAGGUUCUGAAACGCAGUAGUUAAAGCGACAUCCAAACUUUAGCAUUAACCCUGAUCUUAACGCGUCACUUUAUCCGAUUGUCUGAUUUUGCACAGAGCUGUCGAUCAGCAAAUAAGUUUAAUUGAUCCUUUGUAGCUGAUGUCAUCAACAUUUCCUGCGGGUGUGACGUGUUCCCUCGUUUAUCUCUGGGGUCACGUUCUAAAAAUAACCCGCUAUAGACGAAAUCCGCGAAGAAUCAUCUUUAUUUUUUACAUUAUUCUCUCUGUUUUUGUCUGUAAAACCCCUCACCACACACUUUAUACACUUUUCUCACACAGGCGUUAACAUUUUCUCACAUUUCUCUCUCGUUUAAACUCUCUCAAAGUUCAAACCUUCGUCGGCGUCUUUGUCGGUGCAGAACGUUUCAUCGACAUUGUGGGUUUUGUCGGUGGAGAAAACAAAUUGCAAACGUACAGCACUUCAGAGUCACACUGAGAUCCAACGUUUAUGUAAAUUUGUCUACAGUCCCUUAGCCGAUCAGGACGCAGGACAUAAUGCACGCUCAGACACUGUAAAAAAAAAACAUUAAAAAUUGGACUAAAACAAUCCGAGAAACGGCGAAAAGAUGAACCACGAUGAUCUUUAUUUUAACACAGAUGAUAAAAAACUGACUUAUCUGAACUACAACAGAUGAGCUGAUCUGUUAAACACGUCCCCCUCAAACGACAAUGUGGUCACAAGCUAGUUAGCAUUAGCAUUAGCAUUAGCCAACGGUUUUUCAGUCGCUCUCACAUUUUUGUCAAAAAUCAAACUCCACGAACGCUCGGACUGACCGCAGGCUCCUGAAAAUGCGCCGUUUACAUCCAUUUUUUUGUAUUUUUCUUUCUUUUUCUUGUUUACAGUGUUUGCUAAUGUGUGUAUUUUGUCACCGUGGCAACUGCUGAACAUUCCGCCACAGACAUACAUGCAGAACCCCCCAGCAUGACGUCACUGCAAAGUAUUAAUAUAGUAUAGAACACUACAGGAUCGGACGGGAGUGACUAAAAUGUAAAACUCAUGUGUAAUUGGGAAAAACACAAACCAAAUAAGAAUCAAAUAUCAGAUAUGAAUUGAUACUAAUACUAGUAUCGAAACUAGAUACUCAUUUGAGCAGGUAUCGAUACUAAAAAGUCCCAUUCACAAGGACAAAUAUGAUCCUUUCCUGAAUGAUCUUGAGCUGAAAAGAAAAAGAAAAUACCAACAUUUAAC
ensembl:lncRNA